rnacentral:lncRNA from 1 species
GUUUUCUGGCCGUGCCAAAAUGAGGCCCUGUGAUGGAUGCCAUCUUGGAAGCAUCACAGAUCAGCACAUACCUGAGACUGGAGCGACCAGCUGCUCUAGUUUCACAGAGCGCCUCAUCAGUGCAGACUUCAGCCAUCACCACAAACCUACAAAUGAUAACCUUCAGAUUGAUGCGGCGGAGUUUUCCACGAUUCUUUAUCUGCUGAUGAAUCACAACCAGGACCCGUUAAACUUUAAAUUGGAGAAUAAAAUCAUCAAGUAAGCUUGAUUACAUAUAAAUACGCAGUGAAAAGCAGCUCCUAUGCUUAAAGGCCUUUCCCUGAGAGUUUCCUGAUUAUCUUCAGUCUGACUGUACUCCUCUUUGAUUGUCUCCCUGGUCUCGAUGCAUUCACGUGGCUUCAAUGUGCCCCGUUUGUGUAUAAAGUCUGGUCUUCCCUCACCUAUUUUUAGAUCAUCUGUUAUUUCUCUCUCUGCGUCUACCUCACAUCACCUUAUUUGGCCUGCAUCUGCAUCCUCCCCUUAAGUCCUCUCUCUUACUCUAAUAUUAAAAACUAGAAGUAGGGAAAAAACAUCUGACCUGACAUGUGCACUACUCUUGUACAACCUGACAUCCAAAAUGUAUGAAAUGAAAAAGUAAAAUGUUUUUUUGGCCUAAAAUCAUAUGCGUUGUUUACACACAAACAUUUAGCAGAGAUAUUCGCAUUUAAAUUAAAGAAACUGCUUCAGGAGCCUCAGUAAGAAGCUCAACAUGUUUGAUUCAGCAGUUACCCCAAGGCUCGAACUGACCCACAGACUGUUUGCUUUCCAAGUGAAUUUGUUAACCACUACACCCGACGGACAUUUACAAACAAAUUUUUUAAACUUUGUUACGACCAGAAAUCACAAAUGAUCUGCCACUACAUAACUACGCUGCAUACAUAUUAAUACAUCUUAACUUUUAUUACUUCAAGUACCUUCAUUCUGUGUUUUACUCAGGAUAAGAUUUUAUGUUAGUCAUCUGCCUCCAUUUCACCCUUUCUUUACCAUCCUCGUUUGUCACACCAGCCCACUGUCCUCCUUUACGACCUUCAUCCAUGAGGUUUUACUCCUUUCCUGGCAGCUCCAUCUUCAGCAUGCUUUGGCCAGUAUAUUCACUUUCCAUCUUCUGCACAUGUGCAAACCAUCUCAGCCCCGCCUCUCUAAUUUUUUCUUUGUUUCUCACUCAUUUCUAAUCCUGUCCAUCCUCUUUCCUUUUUGUUAGUACCUCCAUCUGUAAAAUACACAUCAUAGCAGACCGUACUACCAUCUUGUAAACCUUCCCUUGCACUGUUGCUGCUUCCUUAUUUUACAAAUGACCCCUAACACUCAUCUUUACUUGCUUCACCCUCCCCACGCUCUCUUCUUCACCUCUCUUGUUCAUUGUUUGAUGCUUUGAAUGAUGACCCCAGGUAUUCACUCAUCAACUUUCAAUAUCCUUGCUUCAUGCAUCAUCAACUUUCUGCUCCCCUCUGUCACUUGACUUUUAUUAUUUUAAAUAUUUCACAAUAGCAAUCACAUAUUAGCCAUCUUUACUUUUAUUUGUACUUCUGCAAGUGAGAUGAGCUGAUGGUUUGUGUUUUUGUAGCCUUGCUCCGUUGAGAGUUCAUAAACACUUGGCUUCUUUUUUAAAAUUUCUUUUUAGAAAUGCUUGCAUGAGAACCAACAGUAAGGGACUGGACGUAAAAUUCUAGACUCCACCCUCAGCAUUAAAGUAAGAUACCUUUUCUUUGAUCAGUUUUUACCGUAUUCCUUAUACCAUCAGGUUAUACAAUCAUUUUCUUUGGUGACACGUGGAUAAUGGAAGUAUAUUCCACAGGUUAUGACAUUAUCAGCCGGAGAAUAGUCACGAAUCCUAGGAAGGUGUUCCCUCGAUGGAAAACCUUGGAUCCAAAAUGAAGUUAUUGGACCACAAUUCUUCCAACUCACCUGCAUCGAAGUCAUGCUAAUGAUUUCCAUUAACAGCUGGCUGCUGUUGGUUACUUUAUUUGGAAUUCCCAAUAAGAAUUUUGUUUCCUUCCAUAUUUUUACCUUUUUGUUUCAAUGAUGUGAUUAUUUUUCUUCAUAAAGUCUUUUUUCCAGUGAAGAAUAUCCAUUGACUUAUACACACACAUGAUAUAUACACACACGUUUGCUUACCACAGGAGUGCACAAAGCAAGUUUGGUAUAGCCAGUGUGAUAGUUGGCUCAAAAUAAGCCAUAACCGUUCAGUUCUAAAAUGUAAAACGUUGACCUAAUAGACGCUUUCAACUGCUCCUUUAUUUCCACAGAAGUCCCAAAAUAGAUGGGUCCACAUCACUUGGCACAGAAUUUAUGGUGCAACCUCCCAUUUGUCUGGGCUUAAAGUCCACAAACCUGGCUUAAUGUUUCAUUCACUAUGACCUUGAGCAAACAGCCCAUUAACUCUCCAGGAAACAAUUUACAGAGGUCAAGGCAGACAGAUAUUUACGCAGGAGCUUAUGUUUUUUUUUUUUUUUGCAACCAUAACUAUCGCCCCCUGGUGGCAAGCAAGAAAAACUAUAGGUUUAGGGCACUUUGCAUUGGCUUCACCUUUCAGACCUGGAGUUUGAAAAGAGACUAAAGAGGACAUUUAAAGCACCAGCUGAGUCUCCAUCAGCACAAAAAGAAACUAUUGAUUGCCCCCACUUCAGUCAGAGACGUCACAGAGAAGCUUGCAGUGAAAGGAAACACUGCAAAUACCUGAACUCUGUUACUCAUGUGAAUUCAGGUGUUAACCUAUUUGUUUUGUGAAAUUACAUACAAUUCGUUAUGAUCUUGGGGGAUAAAAAUCCUACAAGUAAUAUUUUUUUUCUCAUUUGUGCUCUGUUAGCUGAAAUUCCAGCAAUAAACACAUUUAGCAGGUAAUCAGCAGUGAUGAAAAGAUGCAAGUGUUGCACUCGACAACCCAUUAAUGUGGCCUUGUGGCACACCCGUAUGCUGCCACCAUCUUUACAUCAUCAAACACUUCAAAACAAAUGCUGGGCACAAAAUUUCAACUGUGGAAAUCUAAUGUGCAUUUUUUGUAUCUGUAAAAGUAUAGACUGAACUGAAGAAAUUAUCGACGGUGGGACUGAGUAUGUGUGUUGUGCAUCACAAUGUUUUGUUCAAUUUUGAUAACACCAGUAAGUUUUUCUUAUGGUAGCGUUUUUUAAAAACAUUUUUUUUUAACUCUUUCUCUCCUUUGAAAUUUGUAAUUUUUUAAACCUAAGUAAGCUAUGAGAGCAGUUGUAUGAGCUGCAGUUUUUGUUUUCUGUUAUUCAACUGAAUGAAAGAGUUUUUUGAUUAAAGUAAGACAUGUUUUCAACAGUAGAUGAGUCGAUGUGGACUUUUAACUGGACUGCUAGGAUGAGUCAGGAUGUUGGGUUAAAUUUGAUUUGGAAAAUAACUAAAGCUGUCAAAUAAUGUAAAGGAGUAAAAAAAAAUAUGGGUUUUAUAAAAAUAAGGUUCACUAUAAUCCAGUUUGCAUUUGUUCCAGGUUUGCUGUACUGCAACCUUAGAGAUCAUCAUGACUACAUUUGACUUGAUUCACAGAAAGUCUUAAUAAAGGAGGAUUUACACCUUUCUUCAACAGGAAGAGGAAAUAUGUGCAGGCACCAACUACGGACAAUGUGACAUACAUUUAAUCUCACUUUAUAUGAUUUCUGUUUCUUUUUCUGUCAAAGACAGAAUUAUUGAUGAACAUAAUUUAGAUAGACGUGUUUGGCAGUUAGCCUCUGAUGGUCUGUCUUGGCAGAACGGACCCCAGCUGUGAAAGGGAUUAGAGCAGGACCCCCCAGAGCCUAGAUCCUGAUGGUGGAGAUGAAGGUGGUUUAUAUGGAGCCUGAGUGAAGAGGGGCAAAGAAGAGGAGGGGGUGGGUUGCACAAAGGCGUCUGUAAAGGCCAAUGACAGAUGCAAGGUUAGAUUUAAAGUAUGGGGCAUGAAUGCUGAUUGGUCUGGUGAAGGCUGAACUAGACCAGUGAUAACACAAAGAGUUUGACAGCGUGGGAAAGUCAGAGUGAUAAAGCUUACGGUGCGUUCACACCGAACGCGAUAGAGGCAAGCGAAAACGCCCCAAACGCCCCUAAUUUGACGCGUGCACAUUCGCACCUCAACGGGCCUCAAAAUUGCAUCUUUCCACGCGCGUGAACCAGAAAUGUGGGAGGGAUGUGGGAGGAAGGUGUGCCAGAUGGUAUCUUUGCAAGAUGGCAGCUGUCGAGCUAGAGCUUGAAGAGAGAGUCAGCCUUCUCUAUCUACUAGUGAUGGUGAGAUGAAGCCUCGUGAUGAGCUGAAGCUUUCCAUCCAACUGGUCGACUCAUGGUUCGAAGCACUGUGAUGAUUCAUUUGCUCUACUGCGCCAUCAAGUGGACGAUUUAAGUGAAAUAGGCUCUGUGAUUACAGGGAGUGCAGAAUUAUUAGGCAAAUGAGUAUUUUGUCCACAUCAUCCUCUUCAUGCAUGUUGUCUUACUCCAAGCUGUAUAGGCUCGAAAGCCUACUACCAAUUAAGCAUAUUAGGUGAUGUGCAUCUCUGUAAUGAGAAGGGGUGUGGUCUAAUGACAUCAACACCCUAUAUCAGGUGUGCAUAAUUAUAAGGCA